rnacentral:lncRNA from 1 species
CCUAGUUCUGAUGCCCCUGCUGGGGCAGGGUUGCCAACUGCUAGGUCAGGCACUAGAUCAGGUUUCCCAGGGCCCCAUCCAACCUGUCCUUGAACACCUCCAGGAACAUCCAUCAGUGGUUGAAGAUGAAGCCUAUUACAGACUGGAAACUGCAUGGACAGGAGAGGUGGGAAUGCACUGGUGGCUGACAUGAUGCUCUGGCCAGAGGUAGACAGAAAGUGGUUUCAUUCAGCUUUCAGACUAUGGCCACUGAGGUUGCUCAAAGUAUCCUUGCUUAGUGCCCUUCUUUACAGUGAGUCUGCCUUGAAUUUUAUUUCAGUGGAGCCAGAAAUGGGGACCUGUUAAUGAGGAAGCCAGAAUCCUUAUGGCAGGUCGCUGGAGGAGUUUCAGACCCUUUCCACCUCUGCUGCUCCAAUUUCUACAAAUCCCCUAAUGCCAAGUGUGUCAUUCUGUGCGGAUUUCAGAUACCAAAAUAGGCUGAAGGCCAGUCCUGCUCCUCUUGCUUGCACCGAUGCCAAGAGACCAUUUGGCAGCUGCAGUGAGCAUGAGGAAUGGUAAAAGUGUUUCCUCUGAGCAGCUCCAUCUACUGCAUAGUGAGAUCUUAGAGUCUGGAGUUACAGGAAGAUAUGGAUUAGUGGAUUCUCAAAAACCUAGAGGUUCUGCCUGUGGCCCUCAAAGGAAGGAAACUGCCAACACAACAUACAUGUGCAUCCAGAAAUCUCAAAAUCAGCAAAAGGAACCUUGGUACAGGUGGAAGCUGAGCUGCUCCAGCGUGGGUGCGAGGACAUAA